rnacentral:rRNA from 1 species
GAUGAACGCUGGCGGCGUGCCUAACACAUGCAAGUCGAACGGGGUCCCUCGGGACUCAGUGGCGGACGGGUGAGUAACGCGUGAGAAUCUACCCUCGGGACGGGGACAACGGUUGGAAACGACCGCUAAUACCCGAUGUGCAGAGAUGUGAAACUUUUAUGGCCCGGGGAAGAGCUCGCGUCCGAUUAGCUAGAUGGCGGUGUAAGAGACCCCCAUGGCGACGAUCGGUAGCUGGUCUGAGAGGAUGAGCAGCCACACUGGGACUGAGACACGGCCCAGACUCCUACGGGAGGCAGCAGUGGGGAAUUUUCCGCAAUGGGCGAAAGCCUGACGGAGCAACGCCGCGUGGGGGAGGAA